rnacentral:lncRNA from 1 species
AAAAAAUCGUAUUUUAUAAAUAACAUACCGAAAAGAUCAUUCAAAUUACAAAAAGUCCAAAGAUUUGUACAAUUAACAUAGCAUGGAGCGUUAAUUUUUAAGCAUUUCUUACUAUUUGUCUUUAUCAGAAGCCAUCUAAUUAUCCAUUGAGAUGACCUCCAACGACUGCCGACGGUCACACAACACGACAUAACAUAUAUAAAUACUUUUAUACAUUGCGACUUGGAUGGAGAGUUCUCUCAUUGACACUCAUAUCACAUAUUCUUAUAUCUAUGUAGACAAAAA